GACGAACGCUGGCGGCGUGCUUAACACAUGCAAGUCGAACGAUGAAGCCGGAGCUUGCUCUGGUGAAUUAGUGGCGAACGGGUGAGUAACACGUGAGUAACCUGCCCUUGACUCUGGGAUAACUGCGGGAAACUGUAGCUAAUACCGGAUACGACCCUCGGAGGCAUCUCCUGGGGGUGGAAAGAAUUUCGGUCGAGGAUGGACUCGCGGCCUAUCAGCUAGUUGGUGAGGUAAAGGCUCACCAAGGCGACGACGGGUAGCCGGCCUGAGAGGGUGGCCGGCCACACUGGGACUGAGACACGGCCCAGACUCCUACGGGAGGCAGCAGUGGGGAAUAUUGCACAAUGGGCGCAAGCCUGAUGCAGCAACGCCGCGUGAGGGAUGACGGCCUUCGGGUUGUAAACCUCUUUUAGCAGGGAAGAAGCGAAAGUGACGGUACCUGCAGAAAAAGCACCGGCUAACUACGUGCCAGCAGCCGCGGUAA
rnacentral:rRNA from 1 species